ACUCAAAUGAAUUGACGGGGACCCGCACAAGCGGUGGAUCAUGUGGUUUAAUAUGACGCUACGCGUAGAACCUUACCAAGGCUUGACAUCCCUGGGACCUGCAAGAAAUUGCGGGGUGCCUUCGGGAGCCAGGUGACAGGUGCUGCAUGGCCGUCGUCAGCUCGUGUCGUGAGAUGUUGGGUUAAGUCCCGCAACGAGCGCAACCCUUAUCGUAUGUUGUAUUUUUCAUGCGAGACUGCCCGGGCCAACCGGGAGGAAGGUGGGGAUGACGUCAGGUCGGCAUGGCCCUUACGCCUUGGGCUACUCACGUGAUACAAUGGCCAGUACAACGCGCAGCGAAACCGCGAGGUGGAGCAAAUCGCAUCAAAACUGGUCUCAGUUCGGAUUGGAGGCUGCAACUCGCCUCCAUGAAGUCGGAAUCGCUAGUAACCGUGGGUCAGCACACCACGGUGAAUACGUUCCCGGGUCUUGUACACACCGCCCGU
rnacentral:rRNA from 1 species